CCGGAUGCUCCAGUUGAUCGCAUGGUCUUCUGGGAAAGCUUUCGCGGUAUGGGAUGGGGUCGCGUCCUAUCAGCUUGACGGCGGGGUAACGGCCCACCGUGGCUUCGACGGGUAGCCGGCCUGAGAGGGCGACCGGCCACAUUGGGACUGAGAUACGGCCCAGACUCCUACGGGAGGCAGCAGUGGGGAAUAUUGCACAAUGGGCGCAAGCCUGAUGCAGCGACGCCGCGUGAGGGAUGGAGGCCUUCGGGUUGUAAACCUCUUUUAUCGGGGAGCAAGCGAGAGUGAGUUUACCCGUUGAAUAAGCACCGGCUAACUACGUGCCAGCAGCCGCGGUAAUACGUAGGGUGCAAGCGUUAUCCGGAAUUAUUGGGCGUAAAGGGCUCGUAGGCGGUUCGUCGCGUCCGGUGUGAAAGUCCAUCGCUUAACGGUGGAUCCGCGCCGGGUACGGGCGGGCUUGAGUGCGGUAGGGGAGACUGGAAUUCCCGGUGUAACGGUGGAAUGUGUAGAUAUC
rnacentral:rRNA from 1 species